UGGUUUUGGAGCGAUGGAAGCCAUCUCCGCUAUACAAACUGGUGUCACGGACAGCCUGAUAAUUGGGGAAACAAUCCGCACUGUUUGCAGAUGAACUUUUCUGGUGAAAAGUGCUGGGAUGAUGGGACCUGUUCUAACCUUCGUCCUUCUGUCUGCGCCAAGAAAGUCUGAUCAGUCUGAGGUUCAAAAAGAUGCUUAAAAUAGAAUCCAGUGGAGGAUCGUUGUGACCUGUUUCUGUUAACCUGCCUUUUUACAGCCUUGUGGCUAUCCUCAAAGCUCUUUCUGCUCCUUUGCUUAAUGUAAUUUCUCUUUAAUGGUACCCAGUGAAUAAAGCCACAAAUAAACA